AUCAAGAAAGGACCAAUUUGGGACUUUGAUGUUGAAAUCCAUUCAAAGACAGGAAGUUGCAUCAUAGACCAUUUUGCCAAGGACCCAUGGAAGCAGCAACAGAUGCCACUUCCAAGCAAAAUAAAAACCGCUCGCCAUAUGCAGCGUGUUAAUUCCGACCCUGUAGCAAGAGCGGAGAACCUUGCUCAGAGAAGAGAAAGCUACGAGAGAAAUAAACAGCAGGGAGAGAUUCCAUAUGCCAAGUCAAGUGAGUUGACAGAGAGAGAGAAAAGGAAUCAGAGAGAGAACUGGAGGGCUGCAUCCAGAGCUUACAGAGAAAGUAAAAAUAUGGCAAACGCUGUGUUAGACCUUACGCCGCCAUCUAUGGAGAACAUUCCACCAGUUCUGGUUGAUGUACACAAGAGCAGCCAGUUUAAUGAAAUGUU